GGGCCUCGCCCCCUUAGCUCAGUCGGCAGAGCACUUCCAUGGUAAGGAAGGGGUCAGCGGUUCAAGUCCGCUCGCGGGCUCG
rnacentral:tRNA from 1 species